GAUGUGACUUGCUCCUCCUGCCUUCUGCCAUGAUUGUGAGGCUUCCCCAGCCAUGUGGAACUUCUUUGAGUGUGCCCAGGGUGUACCAUCAUGGGACCAUGUUCUUCCCCUUUGCUCUUGGAGAAUAGACAAAGCUACUCAGCCCAGCCACGGCAUCAUAAUCUCGUUCUACCUCCCUCUCCAGCCUCAACUGUUUCCAGGCUCCAGCUCAAUGUCAUACAUCAGACGGAGUCUUACUCUGUUGUCCAGGCUGGAGUGUAGCGGUGCGAUCUCCGCUCACUGUAACCUCUGCAUACCAGGUUCAAGUGAUUCUCCUGUCUCAGCCUCCUGAGUAGCUGAGAUUACAGGUGCCCACCACCACACCUGGUUAAUUUUUGUAUUUUUAGUAGAGAUGGGGUUUUAUCAUAUUGGCCAGGCUGGUUUUGAACUCCUGACCUCAGAUGGUCCACCUGCCUCAGCCUCCCAAAGUGCUGGGAUUAUACGAAUGAGCCACUAAGGCUGGCCAUUUAAUUCUUAUAACAUCUUUGAAAGCAAGCAUGGCAAAUAUUAUCAUCACAAUGUUACAUAAUAUUAUGCUGAUUUUAGAAAGAAGGAAACUGAGGCUCCUCAGGGUACUUAGAAGUUUUGCCACUGAAGUUCAGGUGCAUUUAUUUGCUUCUAUUAUGUCUUUGUUACCAUCUGAACAAAUACAGUUGGCUGCGAUGUUGAAACUGUGCCGUCAUGCACCUGCACUGCCACAGACAACAUGGCGCACCUUGACCUGAGCUCAGAAUUGCAGGUAUAUUAAAUGUUAGUCUUCACCAUUUAAAGGCAACUGUAUUUCCUGUGGAAGAGACUACUCAUUUUCUCCCUAUGCACUUCCCCCAUAAGAAUAGAAUUUGUGUUUUUUGACUUCAUAGGUAGCUGUCCAGAAUAGUGUACCAUUACCCAGCACACCUUGGGUCAAGGGAAUGUCAGGUGACUAACUAAAUUCUAGAUGAAAGGAGAAGUGUCAUAUGACAACUUCCAAAGCAUAGCAAGGACAUGCUCCUCCUGUGGACGGUACCCUAGAUUUUUUAUUUGUCUUCUCCUAUAUGCUUUAAUGUAGACAUGGUGUCUGCAGCUGAUGCUGCCACCUUGCUAACGAGAUGAAGAGGAAUGGAGAUCAAGAGCACAGCAACAAUCUGGAAGAAGCCCGGGUUCCUGAUGACCUUUAGGUCCAAACCACUAUUCCAGCCUCAGACCCGUUUCUUAAGAUGUUUUCAUGAGACAGAAACAAACUUCUCUGUCAUCUAAGCAGCUACAUUUUAGCCUGUAAUUCAAAGGAAUACUAUUCUUAACUAAUAAAAUUUUCAGACAAAA